rnacentral:tRNA from 1 species
GGCGGAUGUANCCAAGUGGAUCA